rnacentral:rRNA from 1 species
AAUUAACGUUGGCGGCGUGGAUUAGGCAUGCAAGUCGUGCGUAAAGUGUAGCAAUACACGGAAGCGGCGUAAGGGAGAGUAAUACGUAGGUAUUUACCCUGGGGUCUGGGAUAGCGGCGGGAAACUGCCGGUAAAACCAGAUGAUAUCUCCGGAUCAAAGGUGUGAUUCAGCCCUAGGAGAAGCCUGCGGUCUAUUAGCUAGUUGGUAGGGUAACUGCCUACCAAGGCAAAGAUGGAUAUGGGGGGUGAGAGCGUGCCCCCACUCACUGGGACUGAGACACUGCCCAGACACCUACGGGUGGCUGCAGUCGAGAAUCUUCGGCAAUGGGCGCAAGCCUGACCGAGCGACGCCGCGUGGAGGAUGAAGGCCUUCGGGUUGUAAACUCCUGUCGAAGGGGAGGAAAUUGUAGUGGGUUCACCCAUUAUAUUGACCGAUCCUUGGAGGAAGGGCCGGCUAAUCUCGUGCCAGCAGCCGCCGUAACAC